rnacentral:rRNA from 1 species
UACGUAGGGGGCAAGCGUUGUCCGGAAUCAUUGGGCGUAAAGAGCGUGUAGGCGGCUCGGUAAGUCCGCUGUAAAAGUCCAGGGCUCAACCCUGGAAAGCCGGUGGAAACUGUCGAGCUAGAGUCCGGAAGAGGCGAGUGGAAUUCCUGGUGUAGCGGUGAAAUGCGCAGAUAUCAGGAGGAACACCAAUGGCGAAGGCAGCUCGCUGGGACGGUACUGACGCUGAGACGCGAAAGCGUGGGGAGCAAGCAGG